rnacentral:tRNA from 1 species
AAGUAAGAUUUUAAGUUAACUUCCUAAACUUUAAACCUUCAAAGUUUAUUAUAUAAUUAUCAUUAUAAAUCUUAAAAUUCA